rnacentral:rRNA from 1 species
GACGAACGCUGGCGGCGCGCUUAACACAUGCAAGUCGAACGGAAAGGCCUGCUUUCCCUUGUGGAUUGCGGGUACUCGAGUGGCGAACGGGUGAGUAACACGUGAGUGAUCUGCCCCCAACUUGGGUAUAAGCCUGGGAAACUGGGUCUAAUUCCCGAUAGGACUGCAGGGUGGUGCCUGUGGUGGAACACGAUUUUCUAGUGGUUGGGGAUGAGCUCGCGGCCUAUCAGCUUGUUGGUGGGGUAAUGGCCUACCAAGGCGGCGACGGGUAGCCGGCCUGAGAGGGUGGACGGCCACAUUGGGACUGAGAUACGGCCCAGACUCCUACGGGAGGCAGCAGUGGGGAAUAUUGCACAAUGGGCGGAAGCCUGAUGCAGCAACGCCGCGUGGGGGAUGACGGCCUUCGGGUUGUAAACUCCUUUCGACCGCGAGGAAGCCACCUGGUUGGAAGGGUGGUGACGGUAGUGGUAGAAGAAGCACCGGCUAACUACGUG